UGCCAGACUCCUACGGGAGGCAGCAGUGGGGAAUAUUGCACAAUGGGGGAAACCCUGAUGCAGCGACGCCGCGUGAGUGAAGAAGCGUUUCGGCGCGUAAAGCUCUGUCAGCGGGGAAGAAACACGGUUCGCGAGAGCCGCGGACGGUACCCGACCAAGAAGCCCCGGCUAACUACGUGCCAGCAGCCGCGGUAAUACGUAGGGGGCAAGCGUUAUCCGGAUUCACUGGGUGUAAAGGGAGCGUAGACGGCGAGGCAAGUCUGGAGUGAAAGGCCGGGGCCCAACCCCGGGACUGCAUUUGGAACUGUGUAGCUGGAGUGUCGGAGAGGCAGGCGGAAUUCCUAGUGUAGCGGUGAAAUGCGUAGAUAUUAGGAGGAACGCCAGUGGCGAAGGAGGCCUGCUGGACGAUGACCGACGUUGAGGCUCGAAAGCGUGGGGAGCAAACAGGAUUAGAUACCCUCGUAU
rnacentral:rRNA from 1 species